UACGUAGGGGGCAAGCGUUAUCCGGAAUCACUGGGCGUAAAGGGUGCGUAGGUGGUCCUUCAAGUCAGAAGUGAAAGGCAUUGGCUCAACCAAUGUAAGCUUUUGAAACUGUAGGACUUGAGUGCAGGAGAGGAAAGUGGAAUUCCUAGUGUAGCGGUGAAAUGCGUAGAUAUUAGGAGGAACACCAGUGGCGAAGGCGACUUUCUGGACUGUUACUGACGCUGAGGCACGAAAGCGUGGGGAGCGAACAGG
rnacentral:rRNA from 1 species